rnacentral:rRNA from 1 species
UACGAAGGGGGCUAGCGUUGCUCGGAAUCACUGGGCGUAAAGGGUGCGUAGGCGGGUCUUUAAGUCAGGGGUGAAAUCCUGGAGCUCAACUCCAGAACUGCCUUUGAUACUGAAGAUCUUGAGUGCGGGAGAGGUGAGUGGAACUGCGAGUGUAGAGGUGAAAUUCGUAGAUAUUCGCAAGAACACCAGUGGCGAAGGCGGCUCACUGGCCCGAUACUGACGCUGAGACACGAAAGCGUGGGGAGCAAACAGG